AAACCAUGGUGAGGGCAUUGAGUAGUGUAGCCCUUGAAGCGUUCCCAUGUUUCAGAGAAUGAUUGUGAAUUCUUCUGUGUGAAUCCUGAAAUUUUGUUCCGCAAUCU
rfam:Arabidopsis thaliana chromosome 1, complete sequence.